GGAUCUUGAGCUAUAUUACAUUUGGUAAUACUUAACGGAUGAUUAGUUCGCAAGAUUGAAUAUCCGGGCCUUUUUAGGGCGAAACAUAUCUUCGUGUUCGAUUUUUCAUUUUUCUGCAAGUUUAUUUUUACUGCUUAAGCGAACGAUCCUUUAUGAAUCUUAAUGAUUCGACUUAAUAGACACUUUAAUGUACAAAAAAUAAUGUACACCAAGAAAAGC
rnacentral:lncRNA from 1 species